GGAACUGAGAUUUAUCUGGAGGAUAGAAGGCAGGAGGAAGAAUUCAAGGAUGAGGAAGCCGAAGCUGAGCAAGUUGACGUAACGUGCCACCUACUAAGUGGAAGCGCUGGAUUCUGGCUCCUCGACCUUUGCUCUGAAGUACAGCUGUGUAGGGAGUAAGUAUUCUGGAGAGAUCUGAACAGGCAAUUGGUUUGCUUUGCUAAAUUAUUGUGCUAAGGAAGAGAGAGAGAGUGACUCUUCUGAAAACCACACUCACCGAU
rnacentral:lncRNA from 1 species